GGGUUCACCAAUACUGGAAUUCGACUACCCGGUACGGAGGAUCGGAUUGUGGUUUAUUUUACUAGUUUGCGAGGGAUUCGAAGGACUUUUGAGGAUUGUUAUGCGGUUAGGAUGAUAUUUAGAGGGUUUAGGGUGUGGAUUGAUGAGAGGGAUAUAUCGAUGGUUCCAUGGAUUCAGCUUAUAAGAAGGAGUUGCAAAGUUUGUUCGGAGAGAGGAACGUGAGCUUGCCACAGGUGUUUAUAAGAGGAAACCACGUGGGUGGCGCUGAAGUGAUUAAGCAAAUGUUUGAGACUGGCGAUUUGGCCAAGGUGCUUGAAGGGUUCCCGAGAAGACAGCCUGGGUUUGUUUGUGAAGCGUGCGGUGAUGUGCGGUUUGUGCCAUGUGGAAAUUGUAGUGGCAGCAGGGAGAUAUUUAAGAUGAAGGUGUGCCCAAGAGGUGCUUGGAAUGCAAUGAGAAUGGAUUGAUUCGGUGCCCAGAUUGCUGUUCAUGAUUUUCCGCCUGCGCUCAUAUGAUUUGCUGUGUGGUUUUAGAUGUUUUGUUGAUGUAUGUAUGGAUGUGGAUAUUGUAUUGAAGGUCGAAUUCAAAAUGCUCUUUGGAUUCAUGGGCUUUGGUCUUUCUCAUUUCUAGUUCUCAUUUCUAGUUGUGUGAUCAUCGGUUAAGGGAUCGAUGCUCAUUGUUCUGUGAAGAGUGUUAUGAGAAAUAAUAGUCUCUGGUAUCAAAACACCAAAUUGGGUUGCGUGUUUUGGGUUGGCAAGGGGGAGAGUUCCUCCUCUAUGGCAAUGUAAAUAUUUAGUACUAAUGUAAUGCAAAACCAAAAAAAAGGGUGCAGAUGAUGGAUUGUAAUGAGAAUGGAUAAACAACUUAAGGAAAUAUUG
rnacentral:misc_RNA from 1 species